rnacentral:tRNA from 1 species
GUGAGCGUAGUUCAGUUGGUUAGAGCAUCAGAUUGUGGUUCUGAAUGUCGUGGGUUCGAGUCCCAUCGCUCACC